AUAGAACCUUACAUUCUAGACAAAGAGUGGCAACUGAAUUAAUUAACAAGAUAAAACUAGGUGGUAAUGAUGGAUAUUCAAGAUACAAGCAAAACAACAUGAUAGUUUGAGAAUGGCAACUAGGACCUGUUCAGUAUGGAGACAACACUAGAGGUGUGAAGUUAGAGGCACUGCUCUACCCUCCCCUGAAGUAGCCGGCAUUUCGUUCGGGACCUCGAGUGGCGCCUGACCACCUCCGCCAGUCUUGCAGAUGACAGAUCAGUUUACAGCGCUGCCGAGUGAAGUCAUAUUAAGUCGUCCGUCUCUGCCAAAUGCUAUUCAUUGUGAGAUCUGCCUCAUAAUAAAGCAUGAUGGAUUGCU